AACGCACAUUGCGCCCCCUGGCAUUCCGGGGGGCAUGCCUGUUCGAGCGUCAUUACACCACUCAAGCCUGGCUUGGUAUUGGGGGCCGCAGGAGACUGCGCCCCUUAAAGUCACCGGCUGGACCGUCCAUCUCCACGCGUUGUGGCAACUAUCCGCGAGUGAGACUGGGCGAUCCGGCCGUUAAACCCCCUUUCAAAGGUUGACCUCGGAUCAGGUAGGGAUACCCGCUGAACUUAA
rnacentral:misc_RNA from 1 species